UAACCAGUCGGCGGCGCUGAGCCUGGGGCGCCCUCCGGCCCUGCUGCACUCCCGACGGCCCGCCCCUUCUCCACGGCCAUUGAGUCCACAGAUCAGCAGGAAAAGGACAUAACCUCGCCUGCAAUCUCGUCUUUUGUUUCGAGGCAUUUCUCCGAGGACUCUUUGAAGAUUCUGAUUAGUUCAGGAUCUCCACCUAUGGGCUACCCAGCUACUGCCUGUUAAAAUGCUUGAUAUUUUAUCUUGAAAGAUUCCUAAAUUUUAUUAUUAAUCUCCUAGUAGAUUAGAAGAAUAGUGGUGAGAUGUUAUUACUAAACUUAGCCUUCAGUGUCACAGGAUGGGCAUGGAGGUUGCGAUUGGGGAACGGUAAUGUUGGAGCACUGGGUAAUAUUACCAGCUGAUCCUUGAUAUCAACCCUGCCCUCCUUCCUGACGUCAUCUUAAGGCGUGAAGAGUCUAGUUUGGGCAGCGGUUGUGCUAUAAGGCACUCCAUUCAAGAGUAGGAAAAGGAUAUAACCUCGCCUGCAAUCUUGUCUUUUGUUUCGAGGCAUUUCUCCGAGGACUCUUUGAAGAUUCUGAUUAGUUCAGGUCAUCUAUCUUUUCACCCUUCUCUGCCCAUCCCCCACCCCCAAGUGGUUUCUUGUUAGUAAUCUCAGAGGCCUCUCUUAUCAGGGAUAGCCUUCCCUUCAUUGUUUAUUUUCAAAACACAUUCCUUUCAAUUCUAGAAAAAUUCUCCAAUUUGCAUUGAUUAAGGAGUCAUUUCUUCUUUCCCUGCUUCCUUAGUGGAGAGUGCAGAAUCACGUGCUACCAUCCCUUCUGAUCCACAGCCCUGAUGGCAUGCACAUCUUCUCCACUGACCCUAAAGGAAUAAGAGCUAAGGAAUAACUAAAACUCAGGGCACAGAACCUUCUCUGGAACCAUUUUGCCAGUGCUCAGUAAAGAUAAAUAGAUUACUGCACCCUUUUAUCUCUCCGUCUCACAGCGUUUGCUCUUGAAUGGUAGACACUGAUCAAUACUGUUUUUUUAUUAUUAUUAUUUACUACUACAGGGCUGUUUAGAAGUGGAGAUUUCACUGUUACACUGCAGGAUUCUCUGAUGCAAAGUGGAGUGAGUUCUUGGAGAAGUGUGAACACCGCGUGCUGGGUUUUGCCAUUUCUGUGCGGAGUGAUAAUAGUUGUAUCGGGGAAGAGGGCAGCCUGUGCUUCAGUGAGAGCCUCGUUUUAUUGGCCUUUGGGAGCUGUUAUGGUCUGAACAUGGUUUCUCAUCACCCAAACUGAUCUUGAGGCUUAGCCUCUAAUAUGGCAGUGUUGAGAGUGGUUGGGAUCUUUUAGGGGUAAUUAGGUUGUGGGCACUUUACACUCACAAAGGGAUUAACGUAGCUACCCCAAGGAUGAGUUGCUUAUCCUGUGGAGGCUUGUUAAUAAAGUAAACUGGCUUUCUGUUGCUUCUUUUCUGUCCAUUCAGCUCUUCUGUAGGAACCUGCUCCAGCUUCUCUCCCGUCUUUGCCCAUGCGCAGCAUAGAGCCCUCACUUUAGAGGCCCCACACAGAUGCUGGUGCCAUGCUUUUGGGCCUACAGAAUUGUAAGCUAUGUAAAUAUCUUUUCUUUAUAUAUUUCCAGACAUAGCAAGAAACGGAAAACAGUGUGAGACAGGAACCAACCCUCCUUAUCCUGCGAAGCGUUGUCUGCUGAGUCUGGUCCUGGCUGCUCACUCCCCAGUGCUUCCCUGGCUCAGAGUGAUGUGGCAAGCACAAAUUGGCCUCCUUUGCAUAUUCCAUUGUGCAGAUGUGUGGUGUCUUGCCUUGGAACAGAAGGAAGUAAGAAAGUGUUGAGCUGAAUCAUAUUGGAGCCUAAGGCAAAAGAAAAAAAAUCAAUAAUACAGAUCCUUCCUUAUUAAAAAUUUCAUAUCUUGUUCAUGAAUUUUGCUUUUUGAUCAUACAGUGUUGUAUUGAAAUACUAUUUUGAUUACCAGGUUUUAUGGUGCUCUUUUAAAUUCUGCUCCCAAAGUGACCUCAUUUGUCGCACCUGAGUCUGGGCAAAAGGCUAUGUAGGUGAUGGUUUUGAUUAUAAAGUGGUGUGCAGGACCUAGGUGUGUAUACUUGUUUUUUCAUGGUAUUCUAGGGGACUGGAACUGACAAAAGGAUGAUAUUGCAUCUGUGGGUGGGAUUUGAAGACCCUUUUGAAAUGUCUCUCUUCAGCCAUAAAAACAUCUCCUACCCGUUUCUGGAACCUUAGUUUUUUUACAAAAUUAAGUUGUGUGACUUAAA